rnacentral:rRNA from 1 species
GACGAACGCUGGCGGCAUGCCUAAUACAUGCAAGUCGAGCGAACAGAUGAAGUGCUUGCACUUCUGACGUUAGCGGCGAACGGGUGAGUAACACGUAAGGAAUCUACCUAUAAGCGGGGGAUAACAUUCGGAAACGGGUGCUAAUACCGCAUAAUAUCUUCUUCCGCAUGGAAGAAGAUUGAAAGACGGCUCUGCUGUCACUUAUAGAUGACCUUGCGGUGCAUUAGUUAGUUGGUGGGGUAACGGCCUACCAAGACGAUGAUGCAUAGCCGACCUGAGAGGGCGAUCGGCCACAUUGGGACUGAGACACGGCCCAAACUCCUACGGGAGGCAGCAGUAGGGAAUCUUCCGCAAUGGGCGAAAGCCUGACGGAGCAAUGCCGCGUGAGUGAAGAGGGCCUUCGGGUCGUAAAACUCUGUUAUAAGAGAAGAACAAAUUGUAGAGUAACUGCUACAGUCUUGACGGUAUCUUAUCAGAAAGCCACGGCUAACUACGUGCCAGCCGCCGCGGUAA